AUCCAUCUGAUGAGUCCCGAGUAGGACGAAAUGCGCGUCCUGGAU
rfam:Schistosoma curassoni strain Dakar, Senegal genome assembly, scaffold: SCTD_scaffold0010673